GUGGGAUUAGCUCAGCUGGUUAGAGCGCCAGGUUGUGGCCCUGGAGGUCAUGGGUUCGAACCCCACAUCUCACCCCA
rnacentral:tRNA from 1 species